rnacentral:rRNA from 1 species
CGAAGUCGCAAACUCGCGAGAGUAAGCUAAUCUCUUAAAGCCGUUCUCAGUUCGGACUGUAGGCUGCAACUCGCCUACACGAAGUCGGAAUCGCUAGUAAUCGCGGAUCAGCACGCCGCGGUGAAUACGUUCCCGGGCCUUGUACACACCGCCCGUCACACCAUGGAAGUCUGCAAUGCCCGAAGCCGGUGGCCUAACCACUUAUGUGGAAGGAGCCGUCUAAGGCAGGGCAGAUGACUGGGGUGAAGUCGUAACAAGGUAAC